GGAUGUGAGGGUGAUCUGGCUGCGACAUCUGUCACCCGAUUGAUUGCCAGGGUUGAUUUGGCUGAUCUGGCUGGCUAGGUGGGUGUCCCCUUCCUCCUUCACGCUCCAUGUGCAUCCCUCCCUCUCAAAGAGGACGGCCCUCCCUGAAAAGAGAGGGACUGGUCUUGGGUCGAGGGUAUGGGAGUAGCUGCGCUCCCCUGCUAGAACCUCCAAACAAGCUCUCAAGAAUAGAGAAGUUUCCAAAUGAAGGGGAUGGAACACAGAACUCUGGUGGUGGGAACUGUGUGGAAUUGUUUGUACCAGUUAUCUUACA
ensembl:misc_RNA 7SK 7SK RNA